GGGCUCGUAGCUCAGUCAGGCAGAGCACCGGGCUUUUAUUCAAAUGAGAAGAAACCCGAUGGUCGAGGGUUCAAAUCCCUCCGAGCCCG
rnacentral:tRNA from 1 species